ensembl:lncRNA
CACGUGCGGUCAGGAUUGUCCUUUACGCCUAAGGCCAGCCUUCGGUCCACGUGAAGAAUCAGAUGCACCUGCUCCGCGGGGCCUCUGAGCCGACCUGGACACACAGCAUGGCACCCGCGUGGAGUAUGUGGCAGCACGGGGCAGCCUCCUUGCAUCCGGGGGCCCGUCGCCCCUUGUCGUCUUAGGUCUUCCUCUGAAUGUAUAUCAAGUGAACUGUUUAGGACACCUGUGUGGGCUUCAUGUUGUUUUCAGUGGGGUGUGCCACGUCCCCUGCCCAUCUCCGCUCUCAGUGACAGCACGGAGCUCCGGAUCCUUCGAUAUCGGACCUGUGGUUUGACACCUGGAAGCUUUGGCCACUCCUGGGGUGUUGGGUUAACACAGCAAGAGGCUCCUCAUUAGAACCUGGGGGUUCUGCUCUUUGUUAACGAGGACACUUCAGGGCGUUAGGCUUCCUUAGUUUUCGCUGCUUUAAGGCUUGCAUGUGGGGUAUUGUAAACACGUGGCUCUUUUCAUGUCCGGCUUCAGUGUUGAAUCACAGCCAGACGGGAGCGUGACCAGCCCCUUUCCGUCCCCAGAUUUCAGUAGGUUUAGCUGUAAGAAUUGAAAGCUGAGGAACCGCGUUAUUUAUUUAUUCAUUCAUUCACAGGUUCAUUCAUUCAUUCACUUACGGUCGCGUCCAUGGCAUGUGCUGGUUCCCAGGCCAGGAUCAAACCCGAGUCACAGCAGCGACAACACCAGGUCCUUAACCACUGGGCCACCAGGGAUCUCUGAACCACGUUUAUUUUAAUACAUGAGUGAUUCAUGAGAAACUCGUGUUCCUGGAUGCAUUUCAGUAGCAGCAGUAAUGCAAAAAAGCUGGAUUUUAUCAAUAGUUUUGGUUUUUUUUUUUUUUUUUAAAUCCUUACCCAGGUGUCUCUGUAGUACCGGCGCUGCAAAGGCAUCCCUCCGCCUCCCUCCAGCUGUGAGGCCCAGUAGCACACCCCCGUCUGCCCCAUCGGGCCUGCUGGCAGCCAGCCGGGGCCCGGGAUCCAGCGGGGUGAGGUCACCGCGGCAAGGGCAGAUGUGCCGGGAGGGGGAAGCCCGUUCCCCUGCUUUAAACCACAAAUGUCUUUUGAUAACUAGUGAAAUUGGCAAGCAGAAUGAUUGAAAACAUGUGAGAGGUAACUGGAUCUAAGUUGCAAGUAGUACAUAUUUGAGAAGUUUUCCCCAAUGUAAAAGUUACUCUUUAAGAGCCUUAAACUAAUAAAAACAAGGAAAUUCCAUGUUACGGCUGCCACUCGGCCUUUCCAUUUUUAUUCCAGCCGUCAGAUUUGACAGGUCCGAUGCUGAUUGGCUCUGGGGCCCCUGGGAGCAUGUUAAGCAGGGGACGAGACAGAAGCUGGCAGCAGCCCGGCUGAAGAAAGUCCCCACCGCGUUUCAAUGCCAGGCUCGUAAUUCCAUUUUAGUAGAUCCGAUUUUCCCUUCUUGUGGCUGCUUCCGUAUUACUUUAUCCACUGAAGCGGAUUCAGGAUUCUUUGAGGGCCGUUCUUGUUUCUUUUUCCUGAUCUCACUGCAGAUUUUACAGGGUGCCCGGGCUGGACCUCUCUCGCCCCGUGGCUUCUUUGCUGAACUGUGUGACCUGCUCUUAGCCUCUCCAUCCGAUCCAUUCUUCCAUCCCGGCCAGAACCAUCUUUGUAAAGAACGGCAGUGACCUUGUCGGUAACCCCGAGAGUCGACGACACGUGGACUCAGCACAGCAUCUGAUGCACAUUCAAGGCUCCGACAUUGUCGGUCCCUGCCUUUCUUAGUGACCCAGCAGAUACCUGGCGCUCAGACACCCCCCCAUCUUGCCUUUGUUCCCCAGUCAGCUGAGGGCUCUGCCCCCACCCCGGGAAGCGGGGGUGGUGGCAGGAAAGGACGGGGGGAUUGGAAGACCCAUGUCCCCAGUUCCACCGUUAGGACAGCAUCGCGGAGCUUCAGAAGAGGAAGGACCCCCAGGCUUUCCCCUCGUGCCCCCAGAGCCCACUGUCCCCUCUCCAGCCCCAAGCCUGCUGCAUUCGGAGAGCCUUCUCCGGAGAGGAGGGAGCACGUUAGACUCAGGAAACCUGGCCUCUGUCAUGCCACUUGUGAAUGUGUGGUCUCAGGCAAGUCCCUUCACCUCGAGCCUCGGGGUCCUUGCUCCUUGGUGGAGCGGGUGUGACGGCUGUGCUGGGAUGAGAUGUCACCCAUCCUUUGGGGCGCCUCCUGCCCCUUUCCCAUGAGGCCUUCCCCGAUCUUCCCCGCAGCGAAACCUCCCUCUGCCUCGCGGGCCCGCCCGCCCCUGGCGCAGCCGCCUCGCAGCAUCUGGUUGUCUGAUUCAGUUGUGAGCUCCGGGCACCGGGGCGGUUUGUUGCCCCUCUGUGCCCACCUGGCCCUGUCAGGAGGAGCUCGGGCUGCCUCGCCGCGGGGAGAAGUUGGCCGAGGGGCCUGCUGGCGGCAGGGGCAGUGACCUGGGGCAUGUGGGCCGAGGAGCUGUUCCAGGGCGAGGGGCCUUUGGUUUUCUCUGGACCUCGUUUCACACAGAUGUGCACACCUGAUCCGGCCGCGCCGGUCGCAUCCCUUCUUCUGAGAGCCUCUGGGAUGCAGGCGGAUUCUUUCUGGUUAGCCCGUGAUUCGCUGGACCUCCCUGGUCAGGUGUUCCCGCUGCAGCCGUGGGCGCUGUGCCUCUGCCCUCGGUGAUCAUGGGCGGGUCCUUCAGCUUAACACAGGGGUGUAGAAACCCAGGGGAAGCCCUUAAGCAGACCCUUGGGGGCGGGGUCAUAGCCGGGAGUAAAGCAGGAAAUCCUCUUUUGUCUCCGUUCUUGUUGAAAAUCUUGAUGGAGUAGAUUCAGGGGUGCGCUUUCCAGAAUGAGUAAGUGGUGCAUGUGCAACGUAGUUGUUUGUUUUCGAUGGUGGAGGAUCUUGGUUAUCGUUUCGGUGCUGUGGCAAUAUUUCCUGUCUGUUUCUGUCAGCCUGGCAGAAUCCAACGUGUGCUGGCGGAGCAGACACGGGCGGCUGCUGGUGCAGCGCUGCCCGUGGCUUCCUGCCUGUGAUGGAAUGAUGUGGGCAGAGAAGUAGCCAGAGCGUGUAACCGAGGCUGCUGGGCCAGCGCUGGCUUCCUGAUGCUAUACGGGCCGUGUCCUGGGGUCCAGGCCUCUGACGGGUAUUGCCGGGGGGGGGCAGUGGAGGGGGUGUCCUCUUAUAAAUCACACUCUCCCGGGACCUGCCUUUCGCCCCCAAACCAGAUCAGGCUCCUCGCCCGCCCUUCCCCGCUAAGGAGUCACAUAGAGAACCAAGAAAGGAGGCUACAGAGACAUGUCAUGUCGUUCCUGGGCCAGAACAAGAGGCCUCAUUUUAUUCAGUUUGAAAAUCCUCUUCUCGGAAUUCCUGUUGUGGCUCAGCGGAUUAAGAACCUGACAUAGUGUCCAUGAGGAUGCAGGUUCGAUUCCUGGCCUUGCUCAGUGGAUUAAAAGAUCCAGGGUUGCCGCAGGCUGUGGUGUAAGGUCACAGAUGCAUCUCACGUCCUGCGUGGCUGUGGCUGUGACGUCGGCCUGCAGCUGUAGCUCCUAUUGGACCCCUGGCCCAAGAACUUCCAUAGGCCACGUGUGCGGCCGUAAAAAGGAAAAAUAAUUCUUGAUGUCUGUGCAGUUAAGGCGUAACAUCUAGAGUUAGAGAAAAACAGGUGACGAGACCCUGAACUUGGAGAGGUCCCAGAGAGAUCAGGACGCUUUGUUGAUUGGCAUUAACUUUCUGAACUAAGCUCCCUUCUACUCCCUCCUGCCCUGGAGUCAAGGUGAAGAGGGGGCCGUCCCCACUGGGUGAGAGCUGGGAGGGUGCUGGCUGCACUGGCGAGGGGCUGCCUGGGAACGAGCAUCGGAGCCCGUGACGUAGCCCUGGCUUGUAAUUAUCAGUCCUGUGUCCUCACCUUUUCAUGUGAGUUUAGAUCAUUGGGAGGAAUAGCUCUGGAACUGGCUUCCUGAAGUCAGCGUUAAAGUGCCCCUCCACUUUUUUUUUUUUGGAAAGCUCCCCGGACAGAAUGGAGUGAGGCUGGCAUGUGGGGCCGCCAUUCUGGUGCCCCGAGUGGGCAGACUGGCAGCAGCGCUUCCAGGGCAGCCCUUUUGUAUUCCCUGGAUGUCCCCCCAGCAUAGCCAGUGGGGAAACUCUCUGAGGAUUUCAAUGGCCCCUUUAUCAUCACAUCUCUGCUCUGGGCACCAGGAGCCCCUGGGGGAGGUCACCUCUUGGUGCCCAGCUCCCAGGUUUCCUGAUAGCGGCCAGCGGCGCAGGUGCCAGGAGGGGGCGAAGGAAUCACAGGAGACAUUCGCUUUCUCUGCCACACGAGAGUCAUUCUGCCCGGCCAUCUGGCUGGCAGCAGCGCCCAGCCGAUGGCAGGAUGUUGUAAACGAUGCUUGCGGAACACGGCACCAAAAAUCUUGAAAAUGAACUGCAAAGAUAAAAAUCAAAGCCGGCUCCGGGGUGGCAUCUCUUGGCCCCACCCAGGCUGUUUCGACGAACCUGCUCCGAGUUGUUGAUAGAUGUCUGUUCAGGGUUCGGUUCUCCCCAGGAGCCCCUUGGCAUCUUUCAACUUUUACUUAUAAAUUCCAGGCAAAAGCAUCUUGGGAGCUUUCUGGAGUUUUUAUUUGCUAAUUAAAAUGUGAGAAGGGAACGCAGCUACAGGUAGAGCUCUGGUGCAAGCCACAGCUGUGAUUUAAAAAAACCCAAACCUGACAGUUUCAAAAUGAAGUUAUUAGCACUUCACCUAUAACUGUGAUAGCUUUUAACUUUCAUGAUCUGCCUCUUAAGCCCCCCCUCCACCCCCGUGGUAUAUAAAAAAGGGAGCCAAGUGAGGAAACCGGAGGAUACUUUAUCCUUGCAGGAGAUAAUAAGAACUACUAUUUCUAUGGAACUUCUUUUAACAUAGAAGACUUUUUCUUAUUCUUGAUGUCAUGCCGUUUUCCUGCAACCAGGGUAGGUGGCAUAUUUUAUAGAUGAGAAAACCAAGACUCAGGGCAUCUGGUGACCUGUCCAGAUUCUUGUGGCCUGGAAGGAGCUGGGUCUUCCUGAAAUUCUGCUGCGGGCUUCCCAGACUUCACUGAUGCCAGAAGAGACCAGGGCUCUGUGAAACAUCUCCCAGCAUUGGGUCCCAGCUCUUCUGCCACUUGGAAAAUAAUUAAAGACAAUGUACUCGGCUUUGGGAAAGCACACUCAGCCAGUUGCCCCCCAAGCCCAGGGUAUACUCCUAAUAACCCCAAAGCAUCUAUCCCAGCUCCCGCACAGGGCUUGGUCCACAGUGCGUGUCAGCACCGGCAGAUGCUUGUGGCCGGGACAGCCCCAGCACAGAGCCAGCGAGCUGCAGGGCGGUGGAUGGCUUGGCCGCCGAGUGUUUUCCCGGAGAAGUGGAAGGGAACCUUUGCCAGAGUGGCUGGUGCCCUAACAAAUUGAUUCCUGCCAAACAAUAGAAAUAAACAUUUUCAACAGACAGAAAUUUUGGCUCCUCAGAGUAUUCAAAUUAAAGGCUUAUUUCUGAAAUAAAUGCUUUAGGAGGAAAACAUUUACCAGCAUAGAUGAGAUCAGAAUCCCUCCUUUUGGCUGUGGCAUAAUUAUUUUUGAGAUUAAAACACAUUUUUUUCUUGCUCCUGCCUCAUUUUUAGCCCAUGGCUUUGCCUCCUGUUUCCUGGAGAAAGUCAAGUGCCUUAAACCGGAGCUCGGGAAAGAGGCAAUUGUUGGCUCUAUGGAGUUCGUUUUCCAGGUCCAGAUUCAGAUCUCAGCUCUCCCCGCCUUGUGGUUCGAUUUGGGCAGACUCUGGUCAUCUGAUCAUCCGUGUCUGCUUUGUAAACAGUUCAUCGUGUAGCCCCCCCAGAACCUGGAGGGUCCCUCUAGACCCCCGCUGUUCUGUAGGACGUGGAAUAAUGGAACGGCCUGUAUCUGCACCUUCACCGUUGUCACUAGCCCAAUGUACGUGGCUGCUGGACCUGAGAAGCGGCAUUUUUAACUUCAUUUUUAUUCGCCUGUGGCCCUUGCCCUCCAUCCGCCUUGCUCCUCUCAUGGGUCCCUGGUUCCAGUUAACAGGUUGCCAGCUGCGCCCCCGGGAGAUCUCUCUCCACUGUCAACACGGGAGCCUUGGCGGGUCUGUUCUCCCUGUCUCCUGUGCUGCAGCCAGAGCAGUGGGACAGUGACAGCAAACUGGGCAGGGACGUCAGCAUUUUAGCCGUCGAGCCUCCCUCCGCCCUCCCCGAACCAGACCAACCCUCAGGAUCCCAUUAGGUUUUAGAAUUUGUCCCAUGUUGUGUCGUGAGUGUAAGAAGAAUAACGAAAGCCAUGGAGUUUGAGGGGCCUGUUCCCUGGGCAUUUGCGAGCAGGUAUGUCACAUAUGUGCCUGGCCUCAGUCUCCUCUUCUGCGACGACGGAUUGGCACAGCUUCUGCAGCUGCCUCUCCUCCGGGUUCAUCCUGAGGCCUGUGGGGCGGGGAGUGUCCUGGGCCAGCCCUCAGCAGGGGAAGGCGGAGGCUGCGGUUUCUGGGCGGGGGACAAGCAGAAGAUAAGAGGACCCGCCACGGGACCCCCACGGCAAGUCAGGCAUAAGACAGCCAGGGAGGAAGGUGCUCACCCGGGAAAAUGAGAAAACCAGACGGCAAGGACCAAACCAGUGGCCCCGUUGGGGGGACAGGGGUGGGCGUGGGAGGAGGAUGGGCUCCGGGGCUCCUUGGAGAAACCCUGCAUCAGAGCAGGAUAGAGCAGGCCUGCCGCUCGGAGCCGUGGGCGCCUGAAAGGCAGAAUUUAGUUUUGUUUUGCGACACAGCCAAAAAGAGCGGUAGGGAUGCUGCCUCUGACCCAGACAUGGCCGGAGCUCAGACCUGAUCAGAGGGCGGCAGGUCCAUGCGGUCCGAUGAGCCCUGUCAGCCAAGGUCCCCUCUCCCCGCCAGUCCUGGCCCACGUGCGCUCACAGCGACCCCGUCCUCCGAUGGCCUGGGUUUCAUUAUGCAUCCCCGAGACGCUGUCUCUCACGUCUCGCUGCUGAAAUGAGAGUCUGGCAAGUAUUCCAUGGAGUGCAAUGCUUGUGGAAUACAUCUGGCAUUUUUGUCUCUGCAUAGUGGGUUUUCGACAGGGUGAAAAACAAUAAAAAAACAAAAUCUUGCUUCUCUAUUGAAAUCUCUCCGUCCCGAGGAAUUCACAGAAGAGCUUGUAUGAAAACUUUGUACUCGUAGCUUUUGUUAGGCCGAUUUAUUUAUUUUUUCCCAUUUUAUUUUCUGAAUAGGUAAUGCAUUCACUUGAUCCAGAAUCAAAAUUCUAUUAAAAAAUAUGAGAAAUCAGCCCUCACCUCUGUCCCUGCCCAGCUUUAGAUAAGUAGUAAGUGUAUGUUGGAGUAAAUUGAAUUUCUUAGAUUGGGAAUUAAUGUCAAGUCAUCUCCCAGAAUCAAGAAAUAUUGGGUACAUACCAAAUGUGUAAUAUAUACUUGAUGUAUGAUACUUUUUUUUUUUUUUUUAAAGAGUUAGGAGUUCACCUCAUGGUUCAGUGGUUAAUGAACCCAACUAGGAACCCUGAGGUUGCGGGUUCAAUCCCUGGCCUUGCUCAGUGGGUUAAGGAUCCGGCGUUGCUGUGAGCUGUGGUGUAAGUCGAAGAUGUGGCUCGGAACCCAAGUUGCUGUGGCUCUGGCGUAGGCCGGCCGCUGUCGGUCCCAUUCUACCCCUAGCCUGGGAACCUCCAUAUUCCUCGGGUGCGGCCCUAAAAAAAAAAAAAAA